AAAAAGGCGUCUUUAGACGCCUUUUUUUGUUAAUUUAAAAGUCAAU
rfam:Polaribacter sp. MED152, complete genome.